AAGGGCACCACAAGAACGCGUGGAGCAUGUGGCUUAAUUUGACUCAACGCGGGAAAUCUUACCGGGUCCGGACACACUGAGGAUUGACAGAUAUACGCUACGUUGCGCUGCCUUCGGGUGCGCACGUGGCUCAAAGAUGCUAGUUCUUUCAUGAUUAUGUGAUAGGUGGUGCAUGGCCGUUCUUAGUUCGUGGAGUGAUCUGUCUGCUUAAUUGCGUAUCAAUAAUAGAGACCUAGUAUACGCGUAUUACUCGUGUGGUAGUGACCCCCUUCUCACGGAGGCGCGUGUCGCACAUACGGUAUACGCACUGGUCUCAGAUAGCAACGAACGUGACCGUAUUCUAUUGUUGCAGUGAAUUAUACGUGUGCUUUAUUGUACACAUUCCCACUGCUUAGUGUGCGCUGCCAGCACUUGUUGCUGCUGCGUCACACAUUAAACUAUAGAGACCGCUGUUUCUUCUUUAAACCAGAGGAAGGAUACGGCAAUAACAGGUCUGUGAUGCCCUCAGAUGKKCCGGGSKGCACASGUDCUACAAUGAUCAKUGCAYUGUGCAUSUAACCCAAUGUGCGCGGRCGCCWCGAUASGUWAAUUGUCGUSGGGCAUUUUUUADGUAUUCSCUUGUGCGACUGCGCCGAACCUACUUCGAAAGUAAAAUUUUUAAGUGGGUAAUCCAUUAGAAGUAAUGACUCGCAUAGACCAUGGCACACUAUAUGUACGCGCAGGUCUACCCGGCUCGCCUUUGUGUGAGUGCAGUGCGUAGCUUGUUGUUUCGUACGUGCCACUCCGUAUUAAUUCGUACGUGGGGAUAGAUCAUUGUUUAAUUGUUGGUCUCGGUCUUAACUAGGAAUGCCUUGUACGGGUCUUUGGUUCAACAUACCACCCGGAAUACGUCCCUGCCCUUUGUACACACCGCCCGUCGCUCUUACCGAUGGAUUAUACUAUGAAUCUAUAGGACUGCCAAAGCUUUGCGGCGUGUUCGCACACCGCGCUUAGUGGAAAUAUAUAUGAAUAGUGUGAUCUAAAGGAAAGAGAAGUCGUAACAAGGCAUCU
rnacentral:rRNA from 1 species